AGACAGCAGUAGCCGCGGUAAUACGAAGGGUGCAAGCGUUACUCGGAAUUACUGGGCGUAAAGCGUGCGUAGGUGGUGGUUUAAGUCCGUUGUGAAAGCCCUGGGCUCAACCUGGGAAUUGCAGUGGAUACUGGGUCACUAGAGUGUGGCAGAGGAUAGUGGAAUUUCCGGUGUAGCAGUGAAAUGCGUAGAGAUCGGAAGGAACAUCUGUGGCGAAGGCGACUAUCUGGGCCAACACUGACACUGAGGCACGAAAGCGUGGGGAGCAAACAGGAUUAGAUACCCCUGUAGUCCCUGUCUCUUAUAA
rnacentral:rRNA from 1 species